UGGGGAAUUUUGGACAAUGGGCGAAAGCCUGAUCCAGCAAUGCCGCGUGUGUGAAGAAGGCCUUCGGGUUGUAAAGCACUUUUGUCCGGAAAGAAAUCCUUGGCUCUAAUACAGUCGGGGGAUGACGGUACCGGAAGAAUAAGCACCGGCUAACUACGUGCCAGCAGCCGCGGUAAUACGUAGGGUGCAAGCGUUAAUCGGAAUUACUGGGCGUAAAGCGUGCGCAGGCGGUUUGCUAAGACCGAUGUGAAAUCCCCGGGCUCAACCUGGGAACUGCAUUGGUGACUGGCAGGCUAGGGUAUGGCAGAGGGGGGUAGAAUUCCACGUGUAGCAGUGAAAUGCGUAGAGAUGUGGAGGAAUACCGAUGGCGAAGGCAGCCCCCUGGGCCAAUACUGACGCUCAUGCACGAAAGCAUGGGGAGCAAACAGGAUUAGAUACCCUGGUAGUCCACGCCCUAAACGAUGUCAAACUAGUUGUUGGGGAUUCAUUUUCCUUAGUAACGUAGCUAACCGUGAAGUUGACCGCCUGGGGAGUACGGUCGCAAAGAUUAAAAACUCAAAAUGAAUUGACGGGGUCAUGCUGUUUCCUG
rnacentral:rRNA from 1 species